rnacentral:lncRNA from 1 species
AAGGCUUACCAGGUCAAGUACAACCCUAAAAAGAUGAAGAGGCUGGAGAAGGAGUACGCAGCUAUGAAGAGUAAGGAGAUGGAGGAGCAGAUCGAGAUCAAAGUGAGUUCCAGAGGCGUGAGGGAGGGCAAAGAUGGGCUGCCUUGAGGCUUUCCCUCGCAAAGCCAGAGCUGCCCGCUAGAGGGCAGUCCUAGCUAGCGCAUGCACGGAUAGAACGGGCUGGCCUGGGCGGACAACUUCUGGCUCCGGAUUACCCUCGCUCACUUGCCCCUUCCUUCACCUGCCAGCCCCGCGUGGGAGCGCAUUCCCCAAUUGGCAUGUCCUCAAAGCUGGCCUCACAACAGUAAACAAGACAGUCAAAGUUC